CCCUUAGAUGUUCUGGGCCGCACGCGCGCUACACUGAUGCAUUCAACGAGUCUAAAACCUGGUCUGAGAGGGCUGGGUAAUCUUUUGAAAGUGCAUCGUGAUUGGGAUAGAUGAUAGCAAUUCUUCAUCUUCAACGAGGAAUGCCUAGUAAACGCAAGUCAACAGCUUGCAUUGAUUACGUCCCUGCCCUUUGUACACACCGCCCGUCGCUCCUACCGAUUGAACGAUCCGAUGAAAACUGUGGAUUGAGAGUCUGAGUGGGUUCGCCUACCUCAACUUUCGAGAAGCGGUUUAAAUCUUAUCGUUUAGAGGAAGGAGAAGUCGUAACA
rnacentral:rRNA from 1 species